rnacentral:rRNA from 1 species
GUACGUUUUCACCCUCGGGUGACAGGAGACAGGUGGUGCAUGGUUGUCGUCAGCUCGUGUCGUGAGAUGUUGGGUUAAGUCCCGCAACGAGCGCAACCCCUACGUUUAGUUGCUAACGCGUGAAGGCGAGCACUCUAGACGAACUGCCGUUGACAAAACGGAGGAAGGUGGGAUGACGUCAAAUCAUCAUGCCCCUUAUGUUCUGGGCUACACACGUGCUACAAUGGCCGGUACAGACGGACGCAAAGCCGCGAGGUGGAGCAAAUCCUAAAAAGCCGGUCUCAGUUCGGAUUGCAGGCUGCAAUUCGCCUGCAUGAAGUCGGAAUCGCUAGUAAUCGCAGGUCAGCAUACUGCGGUCGAAUACGUUCCCGGGCCUU